rnacentral:lncRNA from 1 species
CCGCGACCCCCCCAUGGCCUAAGGACACACGUGCAAUUCAGCACAUGGACCGUAGCACCACAGACACACCAAAAAUACUGCACUGAGAGUGCAAAUGGCUGCCUUCAACACCGACAAACUGCUUGCCUUUAGAAAUGUGUGAAUGGAAAGUGGUUUCCUGGUAUUAUCCUCCACAGACUUUCCCAAAGACAUUUUGAGAAGUGGAUGUCAAGACUCUUGACCAUCAAGAUCCAGGAUUUCCUGGACCCUCUUGAAGUCUGUGAGCAGUCCUACAGCGUCACAUCAAGCUGUGGAGUGCCACACUGCUGACACCAUGCUAUACAUCACAUGAAAAAUCAAAACUGAUCAGGGCAUGAGCAAUUUGGUGCUGAACUAUGACAUCAGGAGUUAAAAUCUAGAGGCAGCUUUUCUAGAGCAAGAAGACAGGGCAGACAACGGGAGCCCUUUUGCAGCAUCUACUUUGUUCCCUAUCUGCUCCUUGUCCCAGCUGGAUAGCCUCAGGUCUUCGGCUGCAGUCUACUGCUGGUCUCCAGUGAGAGACGAACCUGAGUUCAAACCCCAUUUGGAUAAGUACAAAAAGCCUAGUCUUAACAGACUGGCUUUUCUAAGUCAAAGAAGAUGGAAGACAAAUGUAAGGAGUACUGCGCUGCUUUGUGUCACUGUGAAACAUCAGGUAUUCUUCAAACAGCUAUCAACAAUGUUCUCCAGACUUCUUGAAAAAAAAGGAAAAAUGAGAAGAUCUGAAUAA